rnacentral:lncRNA from 1 species
GACUGGUCCUUUGACCUGCGGUGCUUCGGCUACUCACAGUGAGGUUAUUAUAGUUUGACUGCACACAUACAUGGUCUCUAGUCAUGUGGGUCCAUGCAGUGUAGAUUGGCUGCAGUAAGUUCACUGUAGGAGUAGGGUAUGCACCUAUAAGGAAUCUAUCGACCUUGAUAGAAGAGGAGUGAUCCUAUGUGAUUUGUUAGACUGAGUUCUAAGACCUUGGCCUGGGCAGUAAUAUAAAGUGAAAAAAGAGUUUUCCACUAUCGAACUCAAGUCAAAUAAAUCUUGACAUAUGACAGACGAUGGGGUUUGACGAGUUGUCCAUGACCUCCGUCCUGUAGGGAUCCACGAUAGUAGGAUUGUAUCACACGUUAACUGCACCUAAAGGUUCAUCUUUCUA